CCCCUUGCGGCUUCUCCUGCGCGUUUGCAGGUUACAAACAAAACCGACGCUUUAAGGCGGGGAGGGGGGCAGGGUGUCUUGAGUUUUCACCAGAGCCUGUCGCAGGGUUGCCAGGAAGCCAGUGGCCGACUUCAGAGUCACACAGUGUUUCACUUGGACCUACGUGGUUAUCACCAAAAUGAGGUUUCAAACACACUGUCCUGUUGGCUUCCAGGUGACGCUGCUGAGCUUCAGACCACACUGAGUAGCGAGCUGCUAGGACAGCGAUUCUCAAACAGGUGAUUUUGGCCUCCAGGGGACACUUGACAACGAUGCGGAGACAUCUUUGACUGUUACAGCUGGGGUGGUGCUACUGGGUGGAGACCAGAGACGCUGCUAAACGUCUUACUAUGCACAGGACAGCCCUCAGAACAACGAAGGAUCUUGCCCCAAAGGUCCACAGUGCCAAGGCUGAGAGCCCUGCUCUAGAACGAUCUUCGAAUUUGUCCUAGGAGGAUGAACUUGGUGUGCAAACUGGAGGGCUCAAGUACGAAGUCUCAGUUAUAUCUAACCAAAGCUUUUACACAUGCAAGUGUUUAAUUUCCAUUAUACCUGGGACCCCAUUAUUCCUGAUAGGCCUUUGACAUCCUCAGGCUUGUGACCUAUGUUGGUCCCAAAAUCUGCCAUCUCUAACAAUAACAUUUAGGAAUCUCCGACAACCUAUGCUUGUGCUGUAAUCUGGCUCCAGUUUGAAUAUACUUUAGAUACAAUUUUUCUGUAUAGAAAUAUUUAUCUGGGACUACUUUAUUCCACCUAAACCAAAUGAAAAACAUGGAAAAGUCUGUGAAUUGGUAUUGUUAAAAUUAAAUACAAAAUGGAGACCAGACUUGAAAAUUCCCUGGCAGACAAAACCAUUUAAGCCACAGAAGCAAAACUAAAUGGAAAUCAU